rnacentral:rRNA from 1 species
CCUACGGGUGGCAGCAGUCGAGAAUCAUUCACAAUGGGGGAAAUCCUGAUGGUGCGACGCCGCGUGGGGGAAUGAAGGUCUUCGGAUUGUAAACCUCUGUCAUGUGGGAGCAAAUUAAAAAGAUAGUACCACAAGAGGAAGAGACGGCUAACUAUGUGCCAGCAGCCGCGGUACUACAGCGGUCUUAAGCGUUGUGCGGAAUACGUGGGCGUAGAGUGUGCGUAGUCGGUUUCGUAAGACGUGUGUGAACGGCGCGGUCUCAACCCGCGGACGGCACAUGAUACUGCGAGACUAGAGUAAUGGAGGGGGAACCGGAAUUCUCGGUGGAGCAGUGAAAUGCGUAGAUAUCGAGAGGAACACUCGUGGCGAAGGCGGGUUCCUGGACAUUAACUGACGCUGAGGCACGAAGGCCAGGGGAGCGAAAGGGAUUAGAUACCCCAGUAGUC